UCCAAAUUGAUGAAUACAAUGGCCACUGGCCCAGUUGCAAAGGUGACUGCCUUAAUGGCAUUCUGUUGCUCUGACGCUGUGAAAUUUGAGCAUACCAGUGGUAAGCUUGGAAACAUUAAUGCCUCUGAAAAUAUGUCAAACACUAUCACAAACCGAGGAUUCUACGUGUUGGUAUGCGACUAUCAGGAAGACAAUCAAUGUAUGAACUGCAGAAGCGGGAGAGAAUGCCACACUGCCCUAGGCUUGCUGAUAUCCCUCUCCACUUCCUGGUGAUGAUGAUCCCAUGAAAGGAGGAGAUGGCCAGAUGUCAUUCCUCUCUGCUGCCAGUUUAUGCUGGCACACCACUGUAGCGAUAUCUGUCAACAAAAUGGCCUUGAACUGCAUAAAAAACACAAGUAACUUUGUCUAUGGAAGUGAUGCCAAGAUAAAUAUGCAAACAAAGACUUUCAAAGAAUUGGGCAUGUUCAACAUAAAAUGGACUCAAGGAAGAAAAACGGAAUAUUCUGAAACAAAAUAUACAUGUGAAUGACUUUCCAAGGGCAAAAAUAUGAAGAACCUCUUCACCAGACUCAGAAUAUUUCUUGGGCAUCAUUAUAGCAGACACACGUUGCUGCAGUGAAUCUAUUUGGAGAUGACAAUGUUAUAAGCAUCUUGAGAGAGUUGCUGUUUUACUCGGCCGCUUCAGCCGAAUGUGUUCCUGCAAAAGUGCUUCAUCUUCCAGGAGAUUCGUGGAAAAGACUUUGACAAGUACAGGUUUCUGGUAACCAGGAUCAAUUUGCCUUCAUGUAGGAGGGAUGAUAAUAAACCUUUUAAGUGCUCGCCCAAGGCUACCUGAAUAGCCCCACAGUAUGUCAUGGGAUGGUGGCUGGGGACCUGUCCUUGUUCUCCUUCCUCACAUCAGUGAAAUGUACAUCAAUGGCCAAAACGUUAACAUGUAGAAACUUGCCUCUGCCACAGGACACCUUACAGGCUUUGCUGGAGCCUCUGCAAGGAAAGGAUGGGCCGCGAAUCCACAGAAAAUGCAAGGCCCAGGCACUGCCAUUGGCUUUGGGUGGCAUCUGGUCCAGUAAGACUUAUGUUGUCCCAAAAGUUAUGAUUGAUAAGGUACAAUCCUAUCCAACCCCCCAAAAUGUGAAGGAGGCGCAAGCUUCUGUAAGGAUUUGGGGGUUGGGGAGGACUUUUAUUCCCUACCUGGCAUACUGCCUCCAUCUCUUAUUCUGCCGGGUAAAGAAAGGGCACACGUGGGACUGGGGAUCAGAGCAGCAAGCUGGUUUUAAGAGAGCAAAAAUAUUGGCAAAGCAGAUUAAAGCUCUGGGCAUCUCCCAAGUAGGGCUAACAUUUGAGUUAAAUAUGUCUGUGACUCCAAAGAGGGGAGCGUGUCCCUAGGGUUUUGGUCCCAGUUCCGGCAGGGGGCAGAAACCCAAUAAACCCCAGGGAGCAGCAGCUCCCAGCAAUGGACACAGCGCUCCUCCAGGUCGCGCCUCUCACACAGCAGCCGGUGGGUGGAGCUGAGUGGUCUGGCUGGUGAUCUCGCAGGAGCCCUGACUGUUCAGCCUUUACGCUGACAGCUACGCUGCACCAAAGGGAUUAGCCCUAUGGCUUGGACGAUGGGAGGCCAAGGGGUGGAUGAUUUCGAAUAAGCCCUUAUGGGGUCAAGAGGUGUGGGAAGACAUUUGAGAUCAUCUGCAAGAUCUUGUCUAAGGAGCCCUCACCGUUUUCCAUGCCACAGCUCAUAAGGGGCUGACACCCCCGGCAAUCAGGAAAUUGAUGCCUUACCUCAGGUACCAGCUUGAGCUAAUGACCCUCCAGUAGGCACAGCAGAUUGGGUGGCAGAAAGAAUGGCCAUCACGGUCCCCAGGUGGGAUGGCAUAUGGCCAAUGAUGCCAAAUUGCCCUUGAAGUACAGAGGCUUCAUUAAUGAGGGAACAGGCCAUCCCGUGUGUUCUAAACAACACCCCAGGCAACUGCCGGAAGAAUCUGGGGCCAUUCGCUGCAGUUCCAACUGGUGAAGAGCUGGCAAAUUGAUUAUACUGGCCCCCUCCAAGUGAAGACCCAGUAUACGCCCUGGUUUGCGCGGACGCUGCAUCCGGCCUAACGCAAGCGGUCCCCCGCUGCUGUGCGCAACAGGCUGCCGCCGUUAGGGGCUUAGAGGACUGAGUCAACUGUGUGUGGGUACCCUCAUCGAGUAGAUAGCAAUUAGGGAGUCACAUUUCGAAGGUCAGGGUAUGUAAGACUGGGGGAAAAAAAGACAUCAAAUGGAGGUUUCAUCUCCCCAGUGAUCCACAAGCAGCAGGAUUGGUAGAAAGAAAACAAAUAUUAAAACAGCAGAUUAAAUUGUUAGCAGAUGAAACCACCGUGGCCUGGUGGACUGGAGUACUGUCUAGGCGUUCGUACAUUUGAAUCAUCAGUGAGUAGGACCAGUUGCCCCAUAUGCCAGACUGGGGACCCCUGCCAAGGCCCCCAACACCAAAAAGGUGUGGACACGACAGGAGACCGUCAUUGCUCCAACUCUCAGCUGUGCGUCAACAUGCUGUGCUGCUGAGACCGCUGAGACCGCCGAGCCCGCCGCGCCUGGGAAAGAAAUUAGCUCCUGGAGUUUGCAAUGCCGCACGCUGACGGGCCGGCGAUCUACUUCACACUCAUUCUCCACUGGGAUCCACUGUCGUGCUGCAAGCCGGACUUGUGGAAAUGCACGAGGCCUGAUGGAGCACACACCUUGAGAGAGAGGAGAAGGUGGGGUCCUCUUCUGCAUAUCCUGUCCGUAGUCUGUCUGCUCAUGCCUGACAGUGCUACCUCCCCUGGCCAAUAAUCCCUAAAGCUGCCGUCCUCCCUGUCUCCUCAAGCCUGGGUGGACACUGUCUCAUUGCUGUGAUCACCUGGCUACUGUCUUUGUUCCCUCCAUGGCCUUGGAGGGUGUUAUAGCCCACAUAGAGAGCCUUACUACAUUCAGCCAGCAAGCCCUGAAGGAUAGCCAAAAUCUGUCCUUACUGAAUGCUGAAAUGACUCUAAUGAGAACUGUCCUCUAAAAUAGGAUGACCUUGGACAUUAUUACUACCUCAGAGGGAGGCACCUUGCCAUUAUCAAACCAGAAUGUUCUCAGCUCAUACCUGAUGAGUCUGUAGCAUCCUUAUUAAAUCACGUGAGGACACAGGUGAAUGCCCUGAGUGAGCCAGCCCCGAGCCUAGAGGAUUUAAUAAAUGGAUGAUUUGGAUCCUGAGGCUCCUGAUAGAAAGAGUUGUCACUAAUUCGGGGAAUUACUGUCUUCCCCUGUUUUCUCUUACAUCUGCCUGUAUUGUUGUUAUGGCAUCUGCCUCCAUUGCAGCAGCCAGCCUCCAAAAGAGCCACCUCCAUGUUAAUGAAACCCCUUGCUGACCACUCAGGGCUCAUUGUGGAAGAGGGGAGCACAUGAGAUCGUAAGAACUGGUCACCAGGGGUGGAAUGUCGGGAGUGUCAUCACAGAGGCAUGGCCACCGAUUGACCUGUGAAUACUCAGCCUCCUCACCCCUUCCUCUGUCCUUGGAAUGCAGCUUCUGCUCGCCUUUGCUGCUCCCAGAGGCUUCUCCAAAGACACAGCCUUGAGAUAGUGAUGUAGUAUUGAAAACACCUGCACGGUAUAUGCGACUAAGCCCAGUUAGGGCCCCUUUAUAAGCUUUUUAAGAUUUGGAGGGUUGCUGCAGGGAUCCGUUCAUCUUGUUGCCGCCCAAGACAAAGCCUUGUAUGUGAGGUCGUUGCUCUUACUAAAACUGCCACCUGCCACCCUGGAGUGACCCGCCUCUUUCGUCUCUCCCUGCCCUGUGUGCGGGAGCCAGUUUCAGAGCACACCAGGAAAGUUCCCGAACCUUCCCCCCCAUUCCAACCAUGCUGCUCGGUCAUC